UGGGGAAUUUUGGACAAUGGGCGCAAGCCUGAUCCAGCCAUGCCGCGUGAGUGAAGAAGGCCUUCGGGUUGUAAAGCUCUUUCAGCCGGGAAGAAAACGCAUGGGUUAAUACCCUGUGUGGAUGACGGUACCGGAAUAAGAAGCACCGGCUAACUACUUGCCAGCAGCCGCGGUAAUACGUAGGGUGCGAGCGUUAAUCGGAAUUACUGGGCGUAAAGCGUGCGCAGGCGGUUUGUUAAGAUAGGCGUGAAAUCCCCGGGCUCGACAUGGGAGCAGCGUUUAUGAAUGGCAGGCACGAGUAUGGAAGAGGGGGGUGGAGUUCCACGUGUAGCAGUGAAAUGCGUAGAGAUGUGGAGGAACACAGCUGGCGAAGGCAGCCCCCUGGGCCAAUACUGACGCUCAUGCACGAAAGAGUGGGUAGCAAACAG
rnacentral:rRNA from 1 species